rnacentral:lncRNA from 1 species
ACGACCUCAACUUGGUGUACCAUUCCAAAGACCCCCCAGACAGAAUGUCCUGGAAGAAAUACAUCCAAAGCUUUUGGUCCAUUGUAUAAGCAGAAAUCUUUCGGACGAAAGCCUGGAGAUGAGUUUUCGGGCAAGAUCUCCCAUUAUACUGGUCAAACGCAGGCGCUUUAAACUUUUGCGGGAUCACAAUCCCCUCAACAAGCCCCAUAUUUGAC